rnacentral:tRNA from 1 species
GCCCGGAUGGUGGAAUGGCAGACACAGAAGACUUAAAAUCUUCUUCCGAAAGGAGUGCGGGUUCGAUCCCCGCUCCGGGUACCA